UACGUAGGGGUGCAAGCGUUGUCCGGAAUUACUGGGCGUAAAGAGUUCGUAGGCGGUUUGUCACGUCGUUUGUGAAAACUCAACAGCCGUCAACCUGUGAGCCUGCAGGCGAUACGGGCAGACUUGAGUACUGCAGGGGAGGACUGGAAUUCCUGGUGUAGCGGUAGAAAUGCGCAGAUAUCAGGAGGAACACCGGUGGCGAAGGCGGGUCUCUGGG
rnacentral:rRNA from 1 species